rnacentral:rRNA from 1 species
GACGAACGCUGGCGGCGUGCCUAACACAUGCAAGUCAACUUGAGGGAAGGAGCAAUCUGACCUGAUGGUGGCGCAAGGGUGCGUAACGCGUAAGUAACUUGCCCAAGGUAAGGAAUAACGUCGAGAAUCGGCGCUAAUACCUCAUAAUGCAGCGGAUCCGCAUGGAUAUGUUGUUAAAGGUUUACCGCCUUGGGAUAGGCUUGCGUCUGAUUAGCUAGUUGGUGUGGUAAUGGCACACCAAGGCUACGAUCAGUAACUGGUCUGAGAGGAUGAUCAGUCACACUGGAACUGAGACACGGUCCAGACUCUACGGGAGCAGCAGUGAGAUAGUGGACAGUGCACGAAC